AAGAGACCCAAAAGCUGCAUCUGUCGCCGGCUUACAUGAAAGUUGAGCUCACGAGGAGCAGUGGUCACAUCGGUUCUCGCUUGCAGUAGAUCUAAGAUGAAAAGGGUUGAGGCUUGUUCCUCUUGUACGGUGUUUUAUAGAGCAGGAUCUCGUGGACUGUUGGAGAAAUACAGUAGGUGCCGUUCGAUGCGUUGCCUGAUGGAUGUGACAUGCUAGUAGUCUCGAGCGAGCUAAGUAAAGGGCAGGACAUGGCUGGCUCCUGCCCAGCGUUACUGUGACAGCCAGGAUGUCGGUUCAGGACCUUUGGUGAAGUCGGGGUCAUGGUAAACAAUCAUGCCAGCACACAAGUGGGUUUUAGCGCGCCCCUUUCAUUCACGUGCAGAGAAAGGUGCCCCUCCCCUCAGCACACAGCUUCAAUUCCUCUGGCUUCCCGAGGGAAAAUACUGCCUUUCUCUAAAUAAACCCACUAUAUCUCUCUCUCUUUCACCCUCUCUCUCUCACACACACAUGCACACACUCCAGUAGGAGAGCAAAGCUUCGCGGGACGUGACCUCGGCUCUCCUUUAGGUAAAGCGGCACUCCUGGCUAUGCGCAAGACCUGUGACUUCUUUUCUCAGCUUGAUCCUACUGGGAGAAGGCAGGAGAUGCAUAUGUAAUCCUGAUGUGUCUGUAUGUGUGAAAGAGAAAGACUGAGGGAGUUCUUUUGUUCUUUUUUUUUUCUUGGACCUUAUUUAUUACAUGCUGAUUCUACUAUGUAAAGGAGCAAAGUGCAAAUAGUUCAAGUUGUUUUUUUUUUUUAAUAUGCAUUAACAGAAUAAAGUCAAUCCCUCUGAUGGAAGCUGGAGCAAGGGUUACGUAUAAUUCAAGCUGGCUUAUAAACAAUAAUAACUCAUUUAUGAUAUGUAUAUAUUAACAGCCUCUUUCACUACGCUUACAUCAUGUGGAGACAGGAUAUAGGGAGACAGAGUUAUGUUACAUGUUAUUUUGUGAAGAAGAGAUUAUUAUAAUACAGAUUAAAUCUAUGUUUAAUUGUUGAAUUAAUAUAAAAUAAUAUAUUAUAUACUAAUUCUAAAUAAUAUAAUUAGUUGUGAUUGUGAUAAUAAAGUACAAACAAAUGAAAAAUUACCACCAUAUUUUACUUCUGCUGAGAAAAAUGCACUGAAACAAUUGCUCGUGCAUUAUUUUCAUUUUAGAGAGAGAUAGAGAGAAAAAAAAAACAUUCUACUAAAUAUAAUCUACUCUCAAUUAUGGUUGGCUUUGUAUUUUUUAAGCAGUUUUAUUUCCACAAUUUAAUCAAUAAAUAGUACCAUAUUUAAUUGCAAGCUUUAAACAGAUUUCAGUAUGUAAAAAGGCAAAGCAAAUAAGGCAACAUUGAAUUUUUCUAAUUCAUAAUGCAUUAAAAAUACAAUAUAUGGAAUGAAAUGAAAAAGUUACAUUGAAGGGGUCAGUGUUUAUUAAAUAUUAAAAGCUGAACACAACUAUAUUGAAUGACAUGUGAAUAGAGGUGAAUUCUAGCAUUUCUUCAGUCAUGUUAUUUUGAAUCCAGUUGGCAUGCAAAUAUUGGACUAAUAUAAGAUGCCUUGUUUACCUCAGCUUUGUUAACCUGUUCUGCUUUUAAUGUCAUUUGACUAAAGGAAAACCACUGGGCCAGUCAGUAUAAACGUCAGUACUUUGAAAUAAAGUAUAACAGACUUUAGGGGUCAUCCCUUCAACCCACAUAUCUUGUUUGCUGUCAUAUGUAUUAUAGUUGUCUGUUUUUAAUUGUGAUAUUUACCAUCCUCAAUAAGAGUUUGAUAAGCUGAACAGGGGUCCAAACAAUGACCAAUGUUGUCGUAAGGUAUACAAAAUGCCUUCACAAUGUUUUCCUGUUACAAUUAAAGAUGAUUUAUUAAACCAUA